CCUAUGCAAUUUUACUAUAGUUAGUUAUAGUUCUAUUCAGAUUUUAUCUGUAGUAAUAUAAGGGAGUUGUUUAAACGAAAAUGAAAGACCUUAGUUAAUUGACGUCUAGUUACUACCAUAUACUUUUUAUUUAUAAAAUAUAGGGAAAGAUGACUAAUGGGUAGUUUGUCUGGGGCGGACGUCUUUAAUAGAGUAUCAAAGAACCUCCUUUUUUAAAGUAUGUUUAAAAUGGAUGGGAACCAAUAAAUUAUGUAUAAUUUGUAAAGUAUAAUGAUAUAGCAUGCUUGACUGAUAGACCUAUAAGUCAACCAGGUACGAAAGUAGGGCAUAGUGACCCUACGGUUUAUUAUGGAAUAGCCGUAGUUUAGAGAUAAAAAUUACGCUAGG
rnacentral:ncRNA from 1 species